rnacentral:rRNA from 1 species
NNNNCGGACCUCACGUGAUUGGAGCGGCCGAUGUCAGAUUAGCUAGUUGGUGAGGUAAAGGCUCACCAAGGCGACGAUCUGUAGCGGGUCUGAGAGGAUGAUCCGCCACACUGGGACUGAGACACGGCCCAGACUCCUACGGGAGGCAGCAGUGGGGAAUUUUGGACAAUGGGCGCAAGCCUGAUCCAGCCAUGCCGCGUGAGUGAAGAAGGCCUUCGGGUUGUAAAGCUCUUUCGCAAGGGAAGAAAACGUGUGGGCUAAUAUCCUGCGCGGAUGACGGUACCUUGACAAGAAGCACCGGCUAACUACGUGCCAGCAGCCGCGGUAAUACGUAGGGUGCGAGCGUUAAUCGGAAUUACUGGGCGUAAAGCGUGCGCAGGCGGUUGUGUAAGACAGGUGUGAAAUCCCCGGGCUUAACCUGGGAACUGCGCUUGUGACUGCACGGCUAGAGUACGGCAG